AAUCCGACCUAGGCUCAUCUGAUAGCGCAAGGCCCGAAGGUCCCCUGCUUUCUCCCGUAGGACGUAUGCGGUAUUAGCGUCCGUUUCCGAGCGUUAUCCCCCACUACCAGGCAGAUUCCUAGGCAUUACUCACCCGUCCGCCGCUGAAUUCAGGAGCAAGCUCCUGUCAUCCGCUCGACUUGCAUGUGUUAGGCCUGCCGCCAGCGUUCAAUCUGAGCCAGGAUCAAACUCU
rnacentral:rRNA from 1 species